rnacentral:rRNA from 1 species
CCUACGGGCGGCAGCAGUGGGGAAUAUUGCGCAAUGGGCGAAAGCCUGACGCAGCGACGCCGCGUGAGGGAUGAAGGUCUUCGGAUCGUAAACCUCUGUCAGCAGGGAAGAACGGUCACGGGAGUAAUCAGCAGUGAAUUGACGGUACCUGCAAAGGAAGCACCGGCUAACUCCGUGCCAGCAGCCGCGGUAAUACGGAGGGGGCGAGCGUUAAUCGGAAUUACUGGGCGGAAAGCGCACGUAGGCGGUAUUUCAAGUCACGGGUGAAAGCCUCGCGCUCAACGUGGGAACUGCCUUUGAAACUGGCAAACUGGAGUGUGUGUGAGGAUAGUGGCCUUCCAUGUGUCGCGGU